rnacentral:lncRNA from 1 species
CCUGGCUUCUGUACUGCGCGCGCACAUGCGCGCAAACCCGGAAGCGGAUUAUGUGGAGUGAAAGUUACACCGUGGCGGAUUGACUUCUAAGGACUCUUGGUACAUGAGGAAGAAACCCGGAAGGGGAAGAGGAAAGCAAAGGCGUCAGGAAUGGUUCUUCCUCAGGGUCUAUUGACAUUCAGGGAUGUGGCCAUAGAAUUCUCUCAGGAGGAGUGGAAAUGCCUGGACCCUGCUCAGAGGACUCUAUACAGAGAUGUGAUGUUGGAGAAUUAUAGGAACCUGGUCUCCCUGGGUGAGGAUAACUUCCCUCCAGAAGUGGGGAUGUUCCCUUGUGUAUCUUUGCAUUUUCUCUUGUUUCUCUUGGGAGUUGCAUCCUUGCUUGACUAAAAUGGAAGCCGUAUUGAUUUUGAAAUGAAAAGCUUCAUGAUGUAGCAUCUGGACUUUCACUGUCCCCUUUUUUAGAUGUUCUGCGUUCUUCAUGAUAGCUCAGUGGGGGUUCCAGAAGUAAAGAAGGCUUAAAACCUUAUGGCUGGCAAGGCGUGGUGACUCAUGCCUGUAAUCCCAGCACUUUGGGAGGCCAAAGCUUGUGGAUCACUUCAGGUCAGGAGUUCGAUACUAGCCUCACCAACAUGGCGAAACGUCAUCUCUACUAAAAAUACAAAAAUUGGCCAGGCGCGGUGGCUCACGCCUGUAAUCCCAGCACUCUGGGAGGCUGAUGAGGGCGGAUC